UACAUGGGGUGCAAACGUUGCUCGGAAUUAUUGGGCGUAAAGCGCACGUAGGUGGUCUGUUAUGUCAGAUGUGAAAGCCCUCGGCUUAACUGAGGAAGUGCACCUGAAACUGGCAGGCUUGAGUACGAGAGAGGGUCGCGGAAUUCCCGGUGUAGAGGUGAAAGUCGUAGAUAUCGGGAGGAACACCGGUAACGAAGGCGGCGACCUGGUUCGAUACUGACGCUGAGGUGCGAAAGCGUGGGGAGCAAACAGG
rnacentral:rRNA from 1 species